rnacentral:rRNA from 1 species
CCAGACAGCCAGGAUGUUGGCUUAGAAGCAGCCAUCAUUUAAAGAAAGCGUAAUAGCUCACUGGUCGAGUCGGCCUGCGCGGAAGAUGUAACGGGGCUAAACCAUGCACCGAAGCUGCGGCAGCGACGCUUAUGCGUUGUUGGGUAGGGGAGCGUUCUGUAAGCCUGUGAAGGUGUGCUGUGAGGCAUGCUGGAGGUAUCAGAAGUGCGAAUGCUGACAUAAGUAACGAUAAAGCGGGUGAAAAGCCCGCUCGCCGGAAGACCAAGGGUUCCUGUCCAACGUUAAUCGGGGCAGGGUGAGUCGACCCCUAAGGCGAGGCCGAAAGGCGUAGUCGAUGGGAAACAGGUUAAUAUUCCUGUACUUGGUGUUACUGCGAAGGGGGGACGGAGAAGGCUAUGUUGGCCGGGCGACGGUUGUCCCGGUUUAAGCGUGUAGGCUGGUUUUCCAGGCAAAUCCGGAAAACCAAGGCUGAGGCGUGAUGACGAGGCACUACGGUGCUGAAGCAACAAAUGCCCUGCUUCCAGGAAAAGCCUCUAAGCAUCAGGUAACAUCAAAUCGUACCCCAAACCGACACAGGUGGUCAGGUAGAGAAUACCAAGGCGCUUGAGAGAACUCGGGUGAAGGAACUAGGCAAAAUGGUGCCGUAACUUCGGGAGAAGGCACGCUGAUAUGUAGGUGAAGCGACUUGCUCGUGGAGCUGAAAUCAGUCGAAGAUACCAGCUGGCUGCAACUGUUUAUUAAAAACACAGCACUGUGCAAACACGAAAGUGGACGUAUACGGUGUGACGCCUGCCCGGUGCCGGAAGGUUAAUUGAUGGGGUUAGCGGUAACGCGAAGCUCUUGAUCGAAGCCCCGGUAAACGGCGGCCGUAACUAUAACGGUCCUAAGGUAGCGAAAUUCCUUGUCGGGUAAGUUCCGACCUGCACGAAUGGCGUAAUGAUGGCCAGGCUGUCUCCACCCGAGACUCAGUGAAAUUGAACUCGCUGUGAAGAUGCAGUGUACCCGCGGCAAGACGGAAAGACCCCGUGAACCUUUACUAUAGCUUGACACUGAACAUUGAGCCUUGAUGUGUAGGAUAGGUGGGAGGCUUUGAAGUGUGGACGCCAGUCUGCAUGGAGCCGACCUUGAAAUACCACCCUUUAAUGUUUGAUGUUCUAACGUGGGCCCCUAAUCGGGGUUGCGGACAGUGUCUGGUGGGUAGUUUGACUGGGGCGGUCUCCUCCUAAAGAGUAACGGAGGAGCACGAAGGUUGGCUAAUCCUGGUCGGACAUCAGGAGGUUAGUGCAAUGGCAUAAGCCAGC